UACGGAGGGUGCGAGCGUUGUCCGGAAUCACUGGGCGUAAAGGGCGCGUAGGUGGCGCGGGAAGUCAACGGUGAAAGUUCGGGGCUCAACCCUGAAUCGGCCGUCGAUACUCCCGGGCUCGAGCACUGUAGAGGCAGAUGGAAUUCCGGGUGUAGCGGUGGAAUGCGUAGAGAUCCGGAAGAACACCGGUGGCGAAGGCGGUCUGCUGGGCAGAGUCGUGACGCUGAGGCGCGAAAGCUAGGGGAG
rnacentral:rRNA from 1 species